rnacentral:lncRNA from 1 species
AAUCACAGUUGUAAAACUUAUUGAUACAUAUUCCUUGUCUCAAAACUUGUAUUAUUUUAUUAAUUUGCUAUCUGAAUUGAUAACUGAACAAAUGAUAUGCUGAAGGAAGUUGGUGUAUAUAAAUACAAUAAAUGAAUAUAAAUACAGUGAUUUCUAAUAAUGCAAUCAGCAAGGAUUGGCUAAAACAUAAGUGGUUUUGAUGAAUUAACAGUGAAUUUCCAAAGGUAACUUUGGAAAACAAAGAUACAGAGGUAUCCGUUAAAUAGGACUGAACUUUUCACAUGACCUGGUCUUUGUAGUGUACUUCACAGAGCAUUGCUUAAAGAACUCCCUGAUAGUAUCUGACAGUCUUCUUUUGUACGAAAUUCCCAUAAACUAAAAAUAUUCGCUCUCACAAAAUCCUUUUUCCAAAACGCAGAUACCCUAAGAAGGUAACAUUAAUGUGUCACAUUUAAUCAUAGAUUAGUAAACUAGUCAAAUCAGAGGCCUGAACAGAAGCUGCAAACCAGCAGCUCUUGGCUGCAUCUGACUGCAAUCUUGUUUUGUUUGGCUAACACAAAAGUGUUUGCACAAAAUUUGAAUUUUAAUGACUUUAAACAAGGCAUGCUUCCUCUCAUUUCCCUACAGCCCUUCUGCUUUCUGUGUUGUUUACACUGUGCUGGAACCACACAUUUUCCUUACAUUUUAGCACUCCUUUCUGUGAUCUCUGCGUAAGACACUGUAUACAUUCACGGGAGGACAGAAGGUACCACCUCAAGCCACUUGUGCAAUUACAAAGGACAGGUUUCCUGUACCACAGCUUUUGUCUGUGUGCAGGACAAAUGGGUCUCUCCUGAAUACAGAACUCAAUGGUCUCGGCCUGGAUCUGUACUGUCAUCCCAGCUGCACAAGACUAAGGAUCAGGAAGCCGAGAAAGUCAGUGCCAUGGCUGCUUGCUUCACAACAUGUACUGUUGUUAUGACUGUACUAACAAAGCAGACAUUCUGUUCUUUACUUUCUCCAUGUUUGGUUCUGAGUCAAAAUCUUUAAAUGAUGAAUAUGAGUUAUGUCCAACAACAUCCAAUAUAUUCUUGGAGAUGUAGUUUUUAACUUAGCAGCCUCUGUAUGCUAUAAUGCAUCUGUAGUACCUACAAACAGGAUUUUAUAAAGAUAUUUGACUACAAUGUAAAUGAAAUUAGACCUCUCAUGAACUGUUCUUAAACUCAUUUUCCAACUAAUGUACUAAUCUCGGCCACCACACUCUCUGAAUAAGGUUAAAUUUAUUUCUGAUGCUUGUGACUUAGCCCUUAAAAUUAUCCAUGAACAGGAAACUUUAUUAUUUUUCUAAUCUUUUUAAAAAUUUAUUUAUUUAUUUGAAAGUCACAGUUACACAGAGAGAGAAGGAGAGGCAGAGAGAUACAGGUCUUCCAUCUGCUUGU